GUCAUUGUCAUUGUCACCGUGUCAUUGUCAUCGUCAUCGUGUCAUUGUCAUCGUCAUCGUCAUUGUGUCACCGGCAUUGUCACCGCAUCGUCAUUGCCAUCAUCAUCAUCAUUGUGUCAUUGUCAUUGUCACCGUGUCCUUGUCACCGUGUCAUUGUCAUUGUCAUUGUCAUCGCGUCAUCGUCAUUGUCACCGUGUCAUUGUCACCGUGUCAUUGUCAUCGUCAUCGUCAUUGUCAUCGCGUCAUUGUCAUUGUCAUUGUCAUCACGUCAUUGUCAUUGUCGUCACUGUCACCGUGUCAUUGUCACCGUGUCAUUGUCAUCGCGUCAUCGGCAUUGGCACCGUGUCAUUGCCAUUGUCACUGUCAUUGUCAUUGUGUCAUCGUCAUUGUCAUUGUCACCGUGUCAUCAGUGUCACCGUGUCAUUGUCAUUGUCGUCACAUCAUUGUCAUUGUCACCGUCAUUGUCACCGUGUCAUUGUCGUUGUCAUUAUCAUCACUUCAUUGUCAUUGUCACUGUCACUGUCACCAUGUCAUUGUCACCAUGUCAUUGUCACUGUCAUUGGCACCGUGUCAUCAUCAUUGUCACUGUGUCAUUGUCACCGCCAUUGUUACCAUGUCAUCGUCAUUGUCACCGUGUCAUUGUCGUUGUCAUUGUCACCACGUCAUUGUCAUUGUCACCGUCAUUGUCACCGUGUCAUUGUCACCGUCACCGCGUCAAAGUCACCACGAUGUCCCCACCCCUCGGGUCCCCUCUGUGUCCCCAACACCCCCGACGUCCCCGACGUCCCUCAAUGUCCCCAAGACCCCCCAUGUCCUAUGUCCCCAAUGUCCCCAAUGUCCCCAAUGUCCCCAUCCCCAACAUCCUCGAUGUCCCCAACGUCCCCAACGCCCCCCACGUCCCCGAUGUCCCCAAUGUCCCCGAUGUCCCCAA
rnacentral:lncRNA from 1 species